CAACAAAAAACAUCUAUUACGACAUAUAGUUAGAGACACUUUUUCACAAGCGUCCCAAAUAAAGGAUAUUGGGACACUUCAUAAAUUGCAUCUAAUUAUUUAACUUAUCGGGGCACUUAUACCUCAAAUUGAAUUUGCCCAAAAAAAAAAAAAAGAUUAUAAAAUAAAUUCUUGUUUAUUAGUUCCAUUUUCUUUCCAUCUCAUUUAAUCUCCCAGCGUUCCCUUCUUAUGCACCGAACGUCUCAUCUCCUUGAAGUCGAGAAUUUCUUGAUUAAACUUAUGAAGGGCAAGGAUUAUGAAAGUGUUUCCCCAUUUGCAGUUCGACGGCAACAAUGUCAGGAAUGUUCGAGCGUUGAUGAGUUACGAUGUAAGAGUUUAAUAAAACAAAUUCAGCUAUGGUAGCAAUGACAAUGAAAGGUCCCUUAGGAGAUGUCUCAUGUGCUCUGGCUAGUGUGCAUCAGAUUGCAUAAUCUCUUUAUUACAUCUGAGGGAAGGCUGAUUUUUAACAAACCUAUAAUGAAGACUAUUCGGAAGGUGUUGAUUAAGUUGAAUGGUAUCAGGUGAAAA